CGGGGUAUAGCGCAGCCUGGUAGCGCGCCAGCUUUGGGUGCUGGAUGUCGGGGGUUCAAAUCCCUCUACCCCGACCA
rnacentral:tRNA from 1 species